rnacentral:rRNA from 1 species
UACGAAGGGGGCUAGCGUUGCUCGGAAUCACUGGGCGUAAAGCGCACGUAGGCGGCUUUCUAAGUCAGGGGUGAAAUCCUGGAGCUCAACUCCAGAACUGCCUUUGAUACUGGAGAGCUUGAGUCCGGAAGAGGUGAGUGGAACUCCGAGUGUAGAGGUGAAAUUCGUAGAUAUUACGGAAGAACACCAGUGGCGAAGGCGGCUCACUGGUCCGGUACUGACGCUGAGGUGCGAAAGCGUGGGAGCGAACGAGG